AUUGAACGCUGGCGGCAGGCCUAACACAUGCAAGUCGAGCGGAUGAAGGGAGCUUGCUCCUGGAUUCAGCGGCGGACGGGUGAGUAACGCCUAGGAAUCUGCCUGGUUGUGGGGGAUAACGUCCGGAAACGGGCGCUAAUACCGCAUACGUCCUGAGCGAGAAAGUGGGGGAUCUUCGGACCUCACGCUAUCAGAUGAGCCUAGGUCGGAUUAGCUAGUUGGUGGGGUAAAGGCCUACAAAGGCGACGAUCCGUAACUGGUCUGAGAGGAUGAUCCGUCACACGGGAACUGGGACACGGUCCAGACUCCUACGGGAGGCAGCAGUGGGGAAUAUUGGACAAUGGGCGAAAGCCUGAUCCAGCCAUGCCGCGUGUGUGAAGAAGGUCUUCGGAUUGUAAAGCACUUUAAGUUGGGAGGAAGGGCAGUAAGUUAAUACCUUGCUGUUUUGACGUUACCAACAGAAUAAGCACCGGCUAACUACGUG
rnacentral:rRNA from 1 species